GAUGAACGCUGGCGGCGUGCCUAAUACAUGCAAGUCGAGCGAACGGACGAGAAGCUUGCUUCUCUGAUGUUAGCGGCGGACGGGUGAGUAACACGUGGAUAACCUACCUAUAAGACUGGGAUAACUUCGGGAAACCGGAGCUAAUACCGGAUAAUAUUUUGAACCGCAUGGUUCAAAAGUGAAAGACGGUCUUGCUGUCACUUAUAGAUGGAUCCGCGCUGGAUUAGCUAGUUGGUAAGGUAACGCCUUACCAAGGCAACGAUGCAUAGCCGACCUGAGAGGGUGAUCGGCCACACUGGAACUGAGACACGGUCCAGACUCCUACGGGAGGCAGCAGUAGGGAAUCUUCCGCAAUGGGCGAAAGCCUGACGGAGCAACGCCGCGUGAGUGAUGAAGGUCUUCGGAUCGUAAAACUCUGUUAUUAGGGAAGAACAUAUGUGUAAGUAACUGUGCACAUCCUGACGGUACCUAAUCAGAAAGCCACGGCUAACUACGUG
rnacentral:rRNA from 1 species